UACGUAGGGACCGAGCGUUGUCCGGAAUCAUUGGGCGUAAAGAGCGUGUAGGCGGCCACUUAAGUCCUGCGUGAAAUCUUGCGGCUCAACCGCAAGCGGUCGUGGGAAACUGGGUGGCUAGAGUGCGGGAGAGGAGAGUGGAAUUCCUGGUGUAGCGGUGGAAUGCGCAGAUAUCAGGAAGAACACCCGUGGCGAAGGCGGCUCUCUGGAACGCAACUGACGCUGAGGAGCGAAAGCGUGGGGAGCGAACAGG
rnacentral:rRNA from 1 species